GUUUGAUCAUGGCUCAGGACGAACGCUGGCGGCGUGCCUAACACAUGCAAGUCGAACGAAGCUUGACGAAUGAUUUCUUCGGAAUGAAAUCUGAUAUGACUGAGUGGCGGACGGGUGAGUAACGCGUGAGCAACCUGCCCUUCGGAACGGGAUAGUGUCUGGAAACGGACAGUAAUACCGUAUAACGUAUUUUUACCGCAUGAUAGAAAUACCAAAACUGAGGUGCCGAAGGAUGGGCUCGCGUCUGAUUAGAUAGUUGGUGGGGUAACGGCCUACCAAGUCGACGAUCAGCAGCCGGACUGAGAGGUUGAACGGCCACAUUGGGACUGAGACACGGCCCAGACUCCUACGGGAGGCAGCAGUGGGGAAUAUUGCACAAUGGGGGAAACCCUGAUGCAGCAACGCCGCGUGAAGGAAGACGGUUUUCGGAUUGUAAACUUCUGUUCUUAGUGAAGAAUAAUGACGGUAGCUAAGGAGCAAGCCACGGCUAACUACGUGCCAGCAGCCGCGGUAAUACGUAGGUGGCAAGCGUUGUCCGGAAUUACUGGGUGUAAAGGGAGCGUAGGCGGGAUGCCAAGUCAGCUGUGAAAACUAUGGGCUUAACCCGUAGACUGCAGUUGAAACUGGUAU
rnacentral:rRNA from 1 species